CGGGAAAGUCCGUUUUUUGAGUCACGUGCCGCUCCUGCGCCACAACGAGGCGGACGCUCCCGGAGACCAGCAAUGGACCAGGCUGGGUUCUGGUGUAAGUUAGAGCAGCCUCAGGACUACUCCAAUUCACACCCCACUGCUUGUGGACCCCAAGAGGCAGUUUUAACAUCCAAGAAUAGCCUCUCACAACAGCCUUUGUGGGAAGAACUGUGAUAGGGUAGUAUCAUAGAGUUACAAGGAAAUCCUCAUUUGAUUAGAAUCCAACUUCUUGAACUACAGCUGCAAACUAAGGAAACACAGUAACGAGCUAACGAAAAAAUUGAACAAAAUACUGAAGCUAUUGUAUGAUUAAACAGUGCAGCUCUAAUGUCUUGGAAUUAUCAAGGAGACUGAAGUAGCAAAUCAAAAUAAUACCCUGGAAGUAGGUUAGCAUAUCAUGUUUGGUGGAAGCUUGCUAGCAACUUCACUAGGCAACAGCUGUUUUCAAGGGCAUGUGACAAGAAGAAACCUGCUUUAGUAAACAUGAUCUGAGCAACUUGUUACUCAGAUGGAUCCAAUACCAAUGUCUUUUUCUUGCUAUGUUGGUGCAUAAAUUUCUGAUGUUCUUUCUUGGUGGGUACACACAUUAAACCUGCCACACUGGUAGGUUAAUAGAUAAAUGACACAAAGCAUUUGGUUCUGUUGGAUAUUUUCAGAUGCAAACAUUUUUGAGCAGCUCUGACUUUUUCACAAUACAUCUUCUUAUUCUUAUUUUCUUAAUGGCAAGAGAGAGGAAGGGAAAGCAAAACACAAUGGAGGCCAGUUUCAUUCCUUGUGCAAGUCCAUUGACAGCAGAAGGAUUGUGUAAUAUGCAUGUUAUCUUGCAGUGGGAAAGAUGCAAUGGAAAGUUGUAUAUUAUAUAAAAUACCACUCAUACAAGUUUGCUGGAGUACAUACUUGCAUGGCAGGUGUAAAGGAGCACCCAAGGUGCAAGGCCAUAAGGACAUUCAGGCCCUAGAAGUUGUAGAGUACUUGUUGCAAUUUAAAAUACAUCUGAGUUCUAGCACUGUUUACAUUUAUAGCAAUAUCAAUUGCCUUUCAUUUGAUAUAAGCAAUGUAGAGAUUUAUUUAUUUAGUUAUUCAGUAUAAGUGGCAUCACACCUUUAUAUACUAUAUGGCAAUGUCCUUGUAGUGAUUUUGAUAGAAUUGCGCUGUUUCACAAGAUUGCACAGAUCUUUAUAAAAGUAAAGUUUUAUAAUAAUAAAUACAUAAUUUUAUAAUA